GAUGAACGCUGGCGGCGUGCCUAAUACAUGCAAGUCGAGCGAAUGGAUUAAGAGCUUGCUCUUAUGAAGUUAGCGGCGGACGGGUGAGUAACACGUGGGUAACCUGCCCAUAAGACUGGGAUAACUCCGGGAAACCGGGGCUAAUACCGGAUAACAUUUUGAACCGCAUGGUUCGACAUUGAAAGGCGGCUUCGGCUGUCACUUAUGGCUGGACCCGCGUCGCAUUAGCCAGUUGGUGAGGUAACGGCUCACCAAGGCAACGAUGCGUAGCCGACCUGGGAGGGUGAUCGGCCACACUGGGACUGAGACACGGCCCAGACUCCUACGGGAGGCAGCAGUAGGGAAUCUUCCGCAAUGGACGAAAGUCUGACGGAGCAACGCCGCGUGAGUGAUGAAGGCUUUCGGGUCGUAAAACUCUGUUGUUAGGGAAGAACAAGUGCUAGUUGAAUAAGCUGGCACCUUGACGGUACCUAACCAGAAAGCCACGGCUAACUACGUGCCAGCCGCCGCAGUAA
rnacentral:rRNA from 1 species